rnacentral:rRNA from 1 species
AACACAUGCAAGUCGAACGAUGAUCUCCAGCUUGCUGGGGGGAUUAGUGGCGAACGGGUGAGUAACACGUGAGUAACCUGCCCUUGACUCUGGGAUAAGCCUGGGAAACUGGGUCUAAUACCGGAUAUGACCGGCCGCCGCAUGGUGUGUCGGUGGAAAGCUUUUGCGGUUUUGGAUGGACUCGCGGCCUAUCAGCUUGUUGGUGGGGUAAUGGCCUACCAAGGCGACGACGGGUAGCCGGCCUGAGAGGGUGACCGGCCACACUGGGACUGAGACACGGCCCAGACUCCUACGGGAGGCAGCAGUGGGGAAUAUUGCACAAUGGGCGAAAGCCUGAUGCAGCGACGCCGCGUGAGGGAUGACGGCCUUCGGGUUGUAAACCUCUUUCAGUAGGGAAGAAGCUUUCGGGUGACGGUACCUGCAGAAGAAGCGCCGGCUAACUACGUGCCAGCAGCCGCGGUAAUACGUAGGGCGCAAGCGUUAUCCGGAAUUAUUGGGCGUAAAGAGCUCGUAGGCGGUUUGUCGCGUCUGCUGUGAAAGACCGGGGCUCAACUCCGGUUCUGCAGUGGGUACGGGCAGACUAGAGUGAUGUAGGGGAGACUGGAAUUCCUGGUGUAGCGGUGAAAUGCGCAGAUAUCAGGAGGAACACCGAUGGCGAAGGCAGGUCUCUGGGCAUUAACUGACGCUGAGGAGCGAAAGCAUGGGGAGCGAACAGGAUUAGAUACCCUGGUAGUCCAUGCCGUAAACGUUGGGCACUAGGUGUGGGGGACAUUCCACGUUUUCCGCGCCGUAGCUAACGCAUUAAGUGCCCCGCCUGGAGA